rnacentral:rRNA from 1 species
GACGGAGGAUGCAAGUGUUAUCCGGAAUCACUGGGCGUAAAGCGUCUGUAGGUGGUUUAAUAAGUCAACUGUUAAAUCUUGAGGCUCAACCUCAAAAUCGCAGUCGAAACUAUUAGACUAGAGUAUAGUAGGGGUAAAGGGAAUUUCCGGUGGAGCGGUGAAAUGCGUAGAGAUCGGAAAGAACACCAACGGCGAAAGCACUCUGCUGGGCCGACACUGACACUGAGAGACGAAAGCUAGGGGAGCGAAUGGG